rnacentral:lncRNA from 1 species
AUUUACAGUAUAUUUUCCAAACAUGAAUCAGCAGUUGGAAUCUGAGAGAGAGAUAGUCAGUCAGUCAGUCAGUGUGUGUGUGUGUGUGUGUGUGUGUGUGUGUGUGUGUGUGUGUGUGUGUGUGUGUGUGUGUGUGUGUGUGUGUGUGUGUGUGUGUGUGUGUGUGUGUGUGUGUGUGGUGUGGGGGGGCUGGAAUUGCUUGUGUUUGAGAGUGAGAGAGACAGAGAGUCAGUCAGUCGUAACUUGUGGAGGAGAAUGUGGGCUUUUGGCACCAGAGGGUAUUUGACAGGAGUUGACUGAUUUGGAAGCAAAUACAAGCAGAGCUGUAGGUUCUGGGCAGAGCUCUCCACUCCUGAAUACAAGCAGAGCUGUAGGUUCUGGGCAGAGCUGUAGGUUCUGGGCAGAGCUGUAGGUUCUGGGCUUUCCACUCCUGAAUACAAGCAGAGCUGUAGGUUCUGGGCAGAGCUGUAGGUUCUGGGCAGAGCUGUAGGUUCUGGGCUUUCCACUCCUAAGUAACAACUCCUUUCUGAGCAGCCUGCAG